AUUGAACGCUGGCGGCAUGCCUUACACAUGCAAGUCGAACGGCAGCACGGGAGCAAUCCUGGUGGCGAGUGGCGAACGGGUGAGUAAUAUAUCGGAACGUGCCCAGUCGUGGGGGAUAACGUAGCGAAAGCUACGCUAAUACCGCAUACGAUCUAUGGAUGAAAGCGGGGGAUCGCAAGACCUCGCGCGAUUGGAGCGGCCGAUAUCAGAUUAGGUAGUUGGUGGGGUAAAAGCCUACCAAGCCUUCGAUCUGUAGCUGGUCUGAGAGGACGACCAGCCACACUGGAACUGAGACACGGUCCAGACUCCUACGGGAGGCAGCAGUGGGGAAUUUUGGACAAUGGGCGCAAGCCUGAUCCAGCAAUG
rnacentral:rRNA from 1 species